rnacentral:rRNA from 11 species
GAGGCGAUGAAGGACGUAGCACGUUGCGAUAAGCCGUGGGGAGUUGCGAGCAAACUUUGAUCCGCGGAUUUCCGAAUGGGGAAACCCACCCCCUUGUGGGGUAUCAUGCACUGAAUACAUAGGUGUAUGAGGCAAACCCGGCGAACUGAAACAUCUAAGUAGCCGGAGGAAAAGAAAUCAACCGAGAUUCCCCAAGUAGUGGCGAGCGAACGGGGAGUAGCCUGCACGACCAACCCAACGGCUCAGCAGAACGGCUCUGGAAAGACCGGCCACAGCGGGUGAUAGCCCCGUAUGCGAAAAGCCGUCGGGGGGUCUAAGCGUGCGACAAGUAGGGCGGGGCACGAGAAACCCUGUCCGAAGAUGGGGGGACCAUCCUCCAAGGCUAAAUACUCGUGAUCGACCGAUAGUGAACCAGUACCGUGAGGGAAAGGCGAAAAGAACCCCGGCGAGGGGAGUGAAAUAGAACCUGAA